rnacentral:rRNA from 1 species
AGUGAACGCUGGCGGUAUGCCUAACACAUGCAAGUCGAACGGCAGCACAGUAAGAGCUUGCUCUUACGGGUGGCGAGUGGCGGACGGGUGAGGAAUACAUCGGAAUCUACUUUUUCGUGGGGGAUAACGUAGGGAAACUUACGCUAAUACCGCAUACGACCUACGGGUGAAAGCAGGGGAUCUUCUGACCUUGCGCGAUUGAAUGAGCCGAUGUCGGAUUAGCUAGUUGGCGGGGUAAAGGCCCACCAAGGCGACGAUCCGUAGCUGGUCUGAGAGGAUGAUCAGCCACACUGGAACUGAGACACGGUCCAGACUCCUACGGGAGGCAGCAGUGGGGAAUAUUGGACAAUGGGCGCAAGCCUGAUCCAGCCAUACCGCGUGGGUGAAGAAGGCCUUCGGGUUGUAAAGCCCUUUUGUUGGGAAAGAAAAGCAUCAGGUUAAUACCCCGCUGUUCUGACGGUACCCAAAGAAUAAGCACCGGCUAACUUCGUG